rnacentral:rRNA from 1 species
AGCGAACGCUGGCGGCAGGCCUAACACAUGCAAGUCGAACGAACUCUUCGGAGUUAGUGGCGGACGGGUGAGUAACACGUGGGAACGUGCCUUUUGGUUCGGAAUAACUCAGGGAAACUUGUGCUAAUACCGAAUGUGCCCUUCGGGGGAAAGAUUUAUCGCCAUUAGAGCGGCCCGCGUCUGAUUAGCUAGUUGGUGAGGUAACGGCUCACCAAGGCGACGAUCAGUGGCUGGUCUGAGAGGAUGACCAGCCACACUGGGACUGAGACACGGCCCAGACUCCUACGGGAGGCAGCAGUGGGGAAUCUUGCGCAAUGGGCGAAAGCCUGACGCAGCCAGGCCGCGUGAAUGAUGAAGGUCGUAGGAUUGUAAAAUUCUUUCACCGGGGACGAUAAUGACGGUACCCGGAGAAGAAGCCCCGGCUAACUUCGUGC